CCUACGGGUGGCAGCAGUGGGGAAUAUUGGGCAAUGGGCGCAAGCCUGACCCAGCUACGCCGCGUGAAGGAAGAAGGCUUUCGGGUUGUAAACUACUUUUCUCAGGGACGAAGAAAGUGACGGUACCUGAGGAAUAAGACAAGGCUAACUAAGUGCCAGCAGCCGCGGUAAUACGUAGGUGGCAAGCGUUAUGCGGAUUUAUUGGGUGUAAAGGGCGUGAAGGCGGGAGCGCAAGUCAGAUGUGAAAACUCAGGGCUCAACCCGGGUCCUGCAUUUGAAACUGUGUGUCUUGAGUGCGGCAGAGGCAAUCGGAAUUCCGAGUGUAGCGGUGAAAUGCGUAGAUAUACGGAAGAACACCAGUGGCGAAGGCAGCUUGCUGGACAGUAACUGACGCUGAGGCGCGAAAGCGUGGGGAGCAAACAGGAUUAGAUACCCUUGUAGUC
rnacentral:rRNA from 1 species